rnacentral:rRNA from 1 species
CACGGAGUUAGCCGGUGCUUCUUCUGCGAGUAACGUCAAUCGACAAGGUUAUUAACCUUAUCGCCUUCCUCCUCGCUGAAAGUACUUUACAACCCGAAGGCCUUCUUCAUACACGCGGCAUGGCUGCAUCAGGCUUGCGCCCAUUGUGCAAUAUUCCCCACUGCUGCCUCCCGUAGGAGUCUGGACCGUGUCUCAGUUCCAGUGUGGCUGGUCAUCCUCUCAGACCAGCUAGGGAUCGUCGCCUAGGUGAGCCGUUACCCCACCUACUAGCUAAUCCCAUCUGGGCACAUCUGAUGGCAUGAGGCCCGAAGGUCCCCCACUUUGGUCUUGCGACGUUAUGCGGUAUUAGCUACCGUUUCCAGUAGUUAUCCCCCUCCAUCAGGCAGUUUCCCAGACAUUACUCACCCGUCCGCCGCUCGUCACCCGAGAGCAAGCUCUCUGUGCUACCGCUCGACUUGCAUGUGUUAGGCCUGCCGCAGCGUUCAA